rnacentral:lncRNA from 1 species
UUACUUUUCUUAUUAAGUAUACUGAAUUCUUCUUCGAUCCUUAGCGAAUUUGGUGUUGUUUUUGGCUAGAACUGAUAAUUAAUUUCUUGUUUUGGGAGGAAAUGGAAGGCAAGGAAUAUAGAGGAGCAGGGACUGUUUCCAGCUUCUCCUUUUUCUUUCAUGUUUGGAACGGAUGGACAGGGAGUAUAUAAUGAGAGUGCUGAAAAUAUUUUAAGUUUAUUAGCUCCUAACUCAAUAGCCUUGCUUAGUAUCAUACCUAAUACUCUAACAUACUAACACCUCCAGCUUAAGCUAAUGUGCCAGUCUUAUACUUGCAG